rnacentral:lncRNA from 1 species
AAAGUUAUGCAUGUAGCUAGGAACGUGGACCCUUUUCAGAACUAGUCUUCAUGACAGACAGAGUUAUGAAUGGGGGCAUUUGUAAUUUUGGAAAUACAAUCUUAGAUAUGAAAUAAAAUGUUUCAGGAUAAUCUGACAGGGGCACUCAAGAUGUUACAAAAACAACUUAUUUUCUUAUAAGAAAAAUCCUAUUUUAAUCUACCAUUCACAAACAUAUAGCUUAUUUCAUAAACAACUUAAAUGGAACAAAAAAAAAAACCAGCUGAAAUUGAGAAAAACAAGUUAUCCCAAAUAUCUUAAUCAUAUUUAAUGAGUGGCUCGAUCCUACACAUAUUUCUUGGCUACCAUAUGUCCAAGAAUCUUUUUUUCCAGUAAAUAUGAGCACAGCAUUGUUGUCUAGCCUGAUGUUGCACCCUGCCCUUAAAUAGAUGCACCCUCUUACUCUUAAUCUCACAACACAUUUCAUUUCUUCAUUCCAAGAAACCAUUCAUCAAACAAUGAAGGACACCAUAGUUCUAUACCCGGCAAACUCAUACUAAGUUACUAACCCACCAGGCUGAAUAGGGUGAUUAUGGUGGAGAACAUGCAUGAAGGUGGUUUUGGCGGUGAAUGAGGACAUAGAUGGGUUUGUGAGUGGGACUGAGUUAGGGAACUCAUGGACUCGGACAAGGGAAAAGAGAGAGUGGAUGGAAGCUCUUAACUUGUUGCGUUCCAAAGGUUGGUUCAGCUGUUAAAGCAAUAGUGAUAAAAAGUCUAGUGGACAUUUCAAACUCAUGUAACACUUUUAUUCAUUUAAUUGGAGUCAACCAUGGAGACUAGGUAUCACCUCCCAAAAGCUGAGUAUAGAAUUAUGGAAUCCUUCUAGACUAGUCAUGGUGAUUCAAGAGAAAGUCUGUUUUUUGUUUUCUCCUCCCCUGAUUCAAAGUAAUUAUUGGGAGGAAUAGCGUGUGGAGCCAAAUGUUCCUCGCUAAAUUUAUCGUCGCCAAUGUGGGAAGUAGCA